UAGACCAUCAACAAUUGAUGGGAAAAUCAUGGACGCGUCAUGUUAGGAGGAUGAGUUUUCACGUCAAAGAAUUUGACACAUAAAUUACAGGUGCCACGUGUUCUAGUUAGUUAUAAAAAUACUUAAGUUACUCUGAAACCAUUUGAUGCAUAUAACGUUUGAGACCUCAGAGGUGGAUUUUUCCUUGAGAUUUAGUUUACCUCAUUGGGAAUUGAAGCAUUACUCUAUGUUUGUUAUUUGUGAUGAAAAACAUUUUGGGAUUGCAAAAAUUGCUAAGGGUUUUUGUUCUUUUUGCCAUGAGUUCAACAGUCCCUGAUAAAUUGAGCAGAGAAGAUAUAGUGCUGCAUUCACCUUUUUAUAGUACUGCUAUUAGUGUAACAUUUGAGGAUUGUAUGCUAGUAGUAUGUUUACAACAUUUUGUGCAUUGCUUGCUUUUGCAUUCUGUCUUAAACCAUUUUCUUUCCAUGUUUUCGCAUGUUGGAGAAUUAAACUUCUUUAUGUGCAGGUGGAGUCAUAUAUAUUUGCGUAUAAUUGGUGAGACAAAGCUUCCAUCUGUAUUUCUUCAGGUACAUUCUGUCCUCUUAGUUGCGUAUAAUUGGUGAGACAAAGCUUCCAUCUGUAUUUCUUCAGAAAAUUUGGGAAGAAUAUUCCUGGCAGAGGCAUAUUCAAAUGAUGAAUCCGUCAAGGUAUCCCUCAAACUCAGUUUUGGAGGAAUAGGCGUAUUCAAAUAUCACUGGGAAGUUUGUAAUUUUUUAGACUUUAAUUGGAAGGAAUUUUCCAUGCUGCUUAAAUUUGGUAAUGAGGUCAGGGAAUAAUUGUUUAAGAUGCGUAUAAGGGCAGUUUCAUUUACUUUCCCAAUUUUCGUUAUUUCAAUGACCUCAUGUAGAACCACUACUACAAUAAUAUAAAACAACGAUACAUGUCGCAAAAUGAAAAAACCGUUGUGGUUUAAAAAACCAUUACAAACCAUGACUGGUGUUAUAAUAACCGUCGUUGUGGAGUCCGAAACCCUUUGUUGAUUUUAAUAGCACAACGGUUGAAAGAAGUCAUCGUCGUCUUUCCAAUUCGUUGAUUUUAAUAGCACGACAGUUGAAAGAAGUCCCAGUCGUCUUUCCAAGACGGGCUAAUAAAAAUUUCACUUAAGUGAAUCCGCGGCCCUUCACGAACCCCUCUAGUUCGUAUCUUUUCAAUCUCUGUCCUAAAGCUCCUGAUAAUUGUGAAGCUCCAAAACCCUAGCCUCCUUUCUUUUGAAAUUCUCGGCCCUUCGUGCUCUUUGUCUUGUGGAUCUCGUUGAACCUGUCCUUCUUUAGAAAUAAUAGAUGACAAUUCUUUUCAAAAAACCGUUGUCUUUACAGCUAAUAAACAAGACAACGGAUUGUAGUAAAAGCAUCGUUUUUACAUUUAAUUCACGAUGAUGCACCAUCAUAGUUUGUCAUUCAAAAGAUGUCGGAUAUAACGACGGUUUUCAAUGCAAAAAGCUGACGGUUUUCCCCCGUCGUCUAUUUCAAUUUUUGUAGUAAUGAACAAUACUCCUUAGCCUGCCUAAAUUACACCUAAAGCUUACAUCAAACACACUUCCUCACAUGUAAAGAAAAUUGUGCUGGUGAAUCGUCCAGAUGUGACCCAUAUGCAUGUGGGCCCCCAAAGGAAGCCCUGUAAAGGGAGAAAAACUUUCUUGGCACGGGGAUGCCAAGGCCAGCAUCCAUGUCAGUAUCCCAAGCCAAUUAACUCCUGACAGCUGUCAAACUCUUUUGACGCUUCUAAAUUAUUUUUUGGGAGCUUUAGUUUUAAACCAUAAUAUAGUUUACUAAUUUAGUAGAAAAAUACAAUUUAGUCUAAUUAGCAAAAGGCCAAACACCAAAAUGUAACAAAAAUACCAUUACAAAAUAUGAAAAUUACAACAUAUGCCAUUUUCAGUAUUUAGUUUUAAACCAAAGCUGAAAAACGACAUCAACUUCACCUCCAGAAACCUCCAGACCAUCAACGAUCAUCAAAGACCACCAACCCAUUCGCGCGACCAUCAUCGAAGACCACCAACAAUUGAAGUCGAUUCUUCAUCUCAGUUUCUGCGGUUUUCUACAUCGCAGUUUUGUUUUCUGCAUUGCAGUUUCAGUUUCUGCAUCGCAGUUUCGUUUUCUGCAUCGCAAUUUCGUUUUCAUUUUCGUGGAAAAUAACUCUGAAAUUAACCAAUUAAACCUCAAAAUUUCUGAAAUCUUACCCAACUAACAGCUAGAUCGUGGAAAAUAGCUAGAAAACCAUACCUCAA